UCUUUCCUCCACCAGGUAACCCCAGAUCCCAUGAGGUGGCAGUGUCACCAUUGCCCCAGCCCAGAGUCAUUUCAAGGAGGAGCAGGUCACUUCCUGAUUCCCAAAGCAUCUGCCUGUACCAUUGAAAACUUAUUCCUGCUCAGUGGUCUAAAAAGCGAUGCUGUCCAUUCUCAGAAAUGGAGCAGAAAGGCAAGAGAAAGGAAGCUGAUAUUUUGAAUGUCCACUACCUGGCAAGUACUGGACCAGCCACUUGCAUAUACAUUUUCUCAAUUAUUCCUCACAAAACCUGGAUGAGAUGGGUGCUAGCAUCUCCAUUUUGCUGAUGAAGGAACGGAGCCCACACACUGAGGAAAGGCCAUAUGAGCACACAGGAAGAAGACUGCCAUCUGCAAAUCAGGAAGACAAUCAUCAUCAAGAACUUACCAUGCUGGCACCCCGAACUUGGGCUUCUGUUGUUUAAGCCACCCAGUCUGAUAUUUUCUUAUAGCAGCCCAAGCUGACUAAGACAGGCAGUCAAGAAUUAAAAUCUGCUUGGAGGAGCACCAACAUACCCAUUUUAAAAACCUUAUUAUGUGAAAUGGCUACAGUUAUUUAAACUCAAGAAGAACAUGGAACAAGAAAGAGAAAUAAAGUCAGUGAGAUGAAUGGACUAAAAUAACCUAGCAGUUAAUGGAAUAAAUAGGAAUGAAGCCCCUUUUCCAGUGUUAGGGUCAGCCUGGGAUUUAUCAAGGCUCUAAACAAAAGGAAUUGAUCAUGAGAGGUUAGCAGAGACAUACGGGAAGCACUGCGAGAGUAUUCAGCACUAGUUGGAGAUUUGAAUUCUAACUUUAAAAUUCUGAGACUUUUGAUCUAUUAAUUUAUCCAUUUUCAUUGUUCUUUUGCUUUGACUAUAAAGAAACAAAAUAAGGCACAAUCAA
rnacentral:lncRNA from 1 species